AGUGAACGCUGGCGGUAGGCCUAACACAUGCAAGUCGAACGGCAGCACAGUAAGAGCUUGCUCUUACGGGUGGCGAGUGGCGGACGGGUGAGGAAUACAUCGGAAUCUACUUUUUCGUGGGGGAUAACGUAGGGAAACUUACGCUAAUACCGCAUACGACCUACGGGUGAAAGCAGGGGAUCUUCGGGCCUUGCGCGAUUGAAUGAGCCGAUGUCGGAUUAGCUAGUUGGCGGGGUAAAGGCCCACCAAGGCGACGAUCCGUAGCUGGUCUGAGAGGAUGAUCAGCCACACUGGAACUGAGACACGGUCCAGACCCCUACGGGAGGCAGCAGUGGGGAAUAUUGGACAAUGGGCGCAAGCCUGAUCCAGCCAUACCGCGUGGGUGAAGAAGGCCUUCGGGUUGUAAAGCCCUUUUGUUGGGAAAGAAAAGCAGCAGGUUAAUACCCCGCUGUUCUGACGGUACCCAAAGAAUAAGCACCGGCUAACUUCGUG
rnacentral:rRNA from 1 species